ACAUUUUCGAUGGUUAUUAUUAUAAAAGUUGUAAAAGGUUUAUGUCAUUAUGUGGAUUGUGGCCUGAACAAAAUAACAAAAGUCGAUAUUUAAGGUUGAUUGUUUUCGUAAUCUUUAAUGCUUCAUUGGCGGUGCCACAGCUCAUUCUUUUAAUUCAACAGUUCGGAAAAGAUAUGGCAAUAACUUUUGAAAAUUCAGUUUCAGUUAUGUUUGCUUUAGGUGUAUUUGCGAAAUAUCUAGUUGCUUUUGUAAAUAAAAAGCGGUAUUUAGGUAAUUCUUGGCUAUUUUGCUGGGCCUCGAACACUUAGGUUACGGAUUUUUAUAAUUUGGCAUAAUUGUUUAUCCAUAGAAGUGAGUUUUUUCUGAGAUUUUCAUGACAAUAUCUUAAUUAUAUCGAAAUUUAUUAAAAAUUAAAGAAAAAUAAUAAAAAAAUUCAAAAUGUUAUAUUUUACAAACUACUACAAAUAUCCAAAUCGAAUAUUUUUUAAAACUAGAGACAUAGACGCACUUUGUGCGUUACCUACCCUAAGUAAACUUAAGGUCAUUCGUUUAUUACAUAAUAUAUAAUAGAACGGUAGAAAUCAUUUAUUAGUAAAUUAUUUGUUUUUAAAAUAAAUUAAUUAUCACUAUUGAGUUUAUAGUCAUACUACUGUGGUUUAUAUAUAGUACUACUUGUUUUAUUUUGUGGAAUUGGUAUAUAAAACGGGCUUCGAUUCAAAUAUAUAUCUGUAAAUUAUUUG